rnacentral:piRNA from 1 species
UUCGUUUGAAAAAAUCGCAUU